UAGCUCAACUGGUAGAGCAUGGCGUUAAUGUUGCCAGGGUUAGGGGUUUGAUUCCCACUGAGGCCA